UCUCAUAGGCAGCAACACAUACUUGUUUUAUUUAGAAAAUAUAAAAGAAAACCGUGGCUCUUUGGCCUCCCAAAAUUAUUGUCUUCCUUUAGUGCCUUUCCUUGCUUGUUUGUGUGAAUGUUCAUAGAUUCUUGGGGACUAUUUUAGCGGGGUUGGGAACUGAGUUUAGCAUCACUUUUGAGUGUGUUAAGCUGUCCACACGCGUCUUCAAAUAGGCCCAUGACAAGAAGAAUUUAUCAAGCCCAACCCCUCUUCUUCCAGAUUUGUCUAUUGUAUUGAGGAACUCUUGACAAGGCACAAAUCAACAGUAGCUGAAUUUCUUUCGAAGAAUUAUGACUGGAAAUGGCUGAACGGGAAAAAACUCGAAUCACUCCAAGUGGGAGUUUUGGAUGUCGAGCAAAGAGACAAGGUAGAAGAGUACGUCGCCGAAGGGCAUGUUUUCGAGGUCGCGAGAUCAUUUGAAAUGGUGUCCCCAGGGAGACACAAAAUUUAUUACGGAAUGAAAGUGCUAUACGAAGGGAAAGAGAGAAGAAGUUAAAAGAGUUGAAGUAUUUUAAGAUGUCACCUAAUGUCUCAGUUGCUAGUUUUAUUCAGUUAUUUGAAUUGAAACAUGUAGAACUAGAAAACUAUGUAGAAAUCUCGGAUUGAGAAGCAUUAGCUAUUUUAGCAAAUUCUCUCCGUGAACCUUGGGGCUGGAGAUUAAUUGAUAUUUACCAUGAGAUUUGGCCUAGCGAGCCUUUUUGGGUGUACAUAAGUCGUCUAAAAUAUUUGUGGUAUGACUUUUAUCUUUAGAUUGACUUGUGACUUGCAACAUGUAGUUAUUUCUUAACUUUAUGUUAUAUAUAAAUUAAGUUGGUUA